UCCUUAUGCAUCCGCGGGUCACUUUAACUUGUUCUCCAUCGAUAAGCAUACAUGUACUGUGUCUGUUAUUGAUCCUUGGUCCAUGCCGCCAUCGUCGGAGGGUAAAAUGGUUCGAUCGCAUAAGAUGAAAUUGAUCUUACAAAGAAUUGCAAUCUACCUAACCGACGCACUUCCAUUAGCACAACCUGGUUGGGAUGCCGAUAUAUUUUUCUGGCCACGCACGUCGCCAACUGAUAUUCCGCAAAGUUCAAGCAUGUGAGUAUCUCUAGAAUAAAACACAUAUGUUUUAAUUUCUUCGGUAAUUAAGAUAAUAACGAGUCAUUUAUCUACAGAAAGCGUCUAGUUAUUUCAUUUUUUAUAUUAUGUUCUCAUGGAAUGGUAAAAAGUUGGUUCAUCCAAUAUGCACGAAUGUUAUCGACCUGAGGAAGAAUUUUUUGGUACGCUUGCUCAAGUACCAUCAAAAUGAAGCACUCGAAAAUAUUCCAUACAUUGUACGACAUACUCUAAGGAGUAUCGAGGAGGACAUUUUUUAAAUAUAAAAUAGUUAAUUAGUGGAGUACUUAUUGCAUAUUCAAACGAUGUCAAUUAUAUGGUUGUUAAAUAUAUUUCAGACUGGUUAGAAUCUUAUAAGUUUUUCUAAAUAUCUUGUGAUUUUGAUACA